UCCUGGCUCAGGAUGAACGCUAGCGGCAGGCUUAACACAUGCAAGUCGAGGGGUAUAUGUCUUCGGAUAUAGAGACCGGCGCACGGGUGCGUAACGCGUAUGCAAUCUACCUUUUACAGAGGGAUAGCCCAGAGAAAUUUGGAUUAAUACCUCAUAGUAUAGUGACUCGGCAUCGAGAUACUAUUAAAGUCACAACGGUAAAAGAUGAGCAUGCGUCCCAUUAGCUAGUUGGUAAGGUAACGGCUUACCAAGGCUACGAUGGGUAGGGGUCCUGAGAGGGAGAUCCCCCACACUGGUACUGAGACACGGACCAGACUCCUACGGGAGGCAGCAGUGAGGAAUAUUGGACAAUGGGCGCAAGCCUGAUCCAGCCAUGCCGCGUGCAGGAUGAAGGUCCUAUGGAUUGUAAACUGCUUUUGUACGAGAAGAAACACUCCNACGUGUNGGAGCUUGACGGUAUCGUAAGAAUAAGGAUCGGCUAACUCCGUGCCAGCAGCCGCGGUAAUACGGAGGAUCCAAGCGUUAUCCGGAAUCAUUGGGUUUAAAGGGUCCGUAGGCGGUUUAGUAAGUCAGUGGUGAAAGCCCAUCGCUCAACGGUGGAACGGCCAUUGAUACUGCUAAACUUGAAUUAUUAGGAAGUAACUAGAAUAUGUAGUGUAGCGGUGAAAUGCUUAGAGAUUACAUGGAAUACCAAUUGCGAAGGCAGGUUACUACUAAUGGAUUGACGCUGAUGGACGAAAGCGUGGGUAGCGAACAGGAUUAGAUACCCUGGUAGUCCACGCCGUAAACGAUGGAUACUAGCUGUUGGGAGCAAUCUCAGUGGCUAAGCGAAAG
rnacentral:rRNA from 1 species